AUAUAUAAUCCCAAAACGGAAACUCGACGGCUAAAAGCCCAUCGUUUCUUCUAAUCCAAAGGCCCAAAUUAUCCCAUAAUUAUCUCUUUCGCCAAAAGCUCUCUCCCUCUCUCUCUCUCUCUCUCUCUCAAAGUCUGCACACAAAAAACGGGGCUAAAAAAAAAAAAUCAAAACUUUCACAUAUAAAUAAUUCCCGUUUUCAAUUUAGAUUUAGCUUUUUAAAAAAAUUUUCUAGGGUUUCGCAAAUGUUAUCGAUUGAAUUUCUACGAGCGACGACAACAAUCCACAGUAAAUUCAGUACAAAUUCUUACUUUAAUCUUCUUUAUCUGCAUGGAUUAAACUUCUCCCCCAAUCGGUUUAGGGUUUUGCAACAAAGCACGAAUCGUUUCAUCCCCAAUUCAAUCACUGUACCUCUACGUAACGUCGCCGUUUUGGGAAACCACGAAAGGUUCAAUCUUUACGGAGGAGGUAAAUUAAGGUUCAAGGAGAGCAAAAUUUUGGCUAAUUGUACAGAUAACAGCGAUUCGAAGGCGAGUUCCAGCGAUAAAAAUGAAGGCGAAGGUGGGCAAGGAGUGAAGCAGAAACAGAAUUCGACAAAUUCGGGCGGUUCGACCGAUCAGAGACGAGAAAAGAGCGGAAAAAGCGGGCUUUGGUGGUCCAAAGGAAAGAAAUGGCAGUGGCAACCGAUAAUUCCAGCUCAAGAAAUCGGUGUUUUGCUUCUACAGUUAGGUAUUGUUAUGUUCGUUAUGCGGUUGCUUCGACCAGGGAUUCCGUUACCCGGGUCCGAGCCCAGGACUCCAACGACUUUCGUCAGCGUUCCUUACAGUGACUUUUUGAGUAAGAUUAAUGGUAACCAAGUUCAAAAGGUGGAGGUUGAUGGGGUUCAUAUAAUGUUUAAAUUGAAGAACGAAGGUAGCGUUCAAGAGAGUGAAAUUGGUGGUGUUAGUAAUAGUAAGUUUCAAGAAUCGGAGUCAUUGUUGAGGAGCGUGGCGCCUACGAAGAGAAUUGUGUAUACAACCACUCGGCCGAGUGAUAUCAAGACUCCAUAUGAGAAGAUGCUGGAAAAUGAUGUGGAGUUUGGGUCUCCUGAUAAGAGGUCCGGUGGCUUCUUGAACUCUGCAUUGAUAGCUUUGUUCUAUGUUGCUGUCCUUGCGGGACUUCUCCAUCGAUUCCCAGUGAGCUUUUCUCAGCAUACAGCUGGUCAGAUUAGGAAUCGGAAGUCUGGGGGUGCUGGAGGUUCAAAAGUGUCUGAACAGGGUGAAACAAUUACUUUUGCUGAUGUUGCUGGUGUUGAUGAGGCCAAGGAGGAGCUAGAAGAAAUUGUGGAAUUUCUUAGAAAUCCAGACAGGUAUAUACGACUUGGUGCUCGUCCUCCCCGAGGAGUUCUCCUGGUGGGUCUUCCUGGGACAGGUAAGACUCUUUUAGCGAAAGCUGUGGCUGGCGAAGCAGAAGUUCCAUUCAUAAGUUGUUCUGCCAGUGAGUUUGUAGAGUUAUAUGUUGGCAUGGGUGCCUCUCGAGUUAGAGAUCUCUUUGCACGAGCAAAGAAGGAGGCACCAUCAAUAAUUUUUAUUGAUGAGAUAGAUGCUGUGGCAAAAAGUCGUGAUGGUAAGUUUCGCAUUGUUAGCAAUGAUGAACGAGAGCAAACUUUGAACCAAUUGCUCACUGAGAUGGAUGGAUUUGACAGCAAUUCUGCAGUGAUUGUUCUUGGAGCUACAAAUCGUUCUGAUGUCUUGGAUCCUGCCCUUCGUCGACCUGGGAGAUUUGAUCGUGUUGUUAUGGUAGAGACUCCUGACAGGAUUGGAAGAGAAGCUAUUUUGAACGUACAUGUUUCUAAGAAGGAACUUCCCCUUGGGGAGGAUGUUGAUCUUGGUGACAUUGCCACUAUGACUACUGGUUUUACUGGGGCUGACCUCGCAAAUCUGGUAAAUGAAGCUGCCUUGCUCGCUGGAAGAAAUAACAAAGUUGUUGUAGAGAGAAUUGAUUUCAUUCAUGCAGUAGAGCGAUCAAUAGCUGGCAUAGAGAAGAAAACUGCCAAGUUGAAAGGAAGUGAGAAGGCUGUAGUAGCAAGGCAUGAAGCUGGCCAUGCAGUAGUAGGUACGGCUGUUGCAAACCUUCUUCCUGGACAGCCACAUGUUGAGAAAUUGAGCAUAUUGCCAAGAUCAGGAGGAGCACUGGGCUUUACUUAUACUCCUCCUACCAAUGAGGAUAGAUAUUUACUCUUCAUUGAUGAGUUACGUGGCCGUUUGGUUACUCUUCUUGGUGGACGUGCUGCAGAGGAAGUUGUUUAUUCAGGUCGAGUUUCUACCGGUGCCCUUGAUGAUAUUCGGCGGGCAACAGACAUGGCAUACAAGGCAGUUGCUGAAUAUGGUCUUAAUCAGACUAUAGGCCCUCUGUCUUUAGCUACGCUUUCUGGUGGAGGCAUGGAUGAAUCUGGAGGUGCAGUUCCUUGGGGACGGGAUCAGGGACAUCUUGUUGAUCUUGUUCAAAGAGAGGUGAAAGCAUUAUUGCAGUCUGCCCUUGAAGUAGCCCUCUCUGUUGUUCGUGCUAAUCCGACUGUUUUGGAAGGGCUUGGUGCCCACCUGGAAGAAAAUGAGAAAGUAGAAGGCGAAGAGCUACAAGAAUGGUUGAAAUUGGUUGUUGCACCAAAGGAACUAACAAUCUUCAUUGGAGGAAAGCAAGAGUCUCUUCUGCCAGUGCAAGUGAGCUCUGUAUAAGCGGUUUUGCUCAUUGCUUGUCAACAUUGAGCAUAACAUGGAGUUAAUUAAAGCUUUCUUCAUGCCUUGACGGCUUGACCUUAUCAGUGAGCAUGUCUUGGUUACUGGCAUCAGCUCCCUUGCACAUUUUUGUAUAUUUCAGCAAGGUGAAUUUUGGCUUUAUUUUUAAUACUACCAAGUCUUUUCAUUGUUUUAUUCUCACUACACUUACAGAGGAAAUGUAGAGCAAGAAGUGGUAAAGCUGAAGAACUAUUUCCUCAAAGAGCCUUCAAGCUUGUCUCACCGUACUUGACAUUAUGUUGACAAGUGCAGGGAAAGGGUGACUUGUAGGUGAAACAUUAGCUGUUGAGAAGAAUGAAGAGUGGUACUGAGUAGUUGAGAUUCGAUGUUUUAGAAUCGUACUGAGUCGAGAUUUGAUAUUUUAGAAGGAAACCCAAAAUAUCGGUGUUGCUUUCAGAUAAAAAUUCUUCCCUGCGUCCUCUUUCUGGGGAAACAAACAAUUUCAAAUGACCUGUCACCAUUUCUCUCAUUUGGACGACAGCUCAAUCAUCCGUUGAUUGAUGAUCCUAUAUCUGCCUCAAAUUCCCUAUCCUUAAUUCUGCACUAUAAUGAAUAUUAAU